CAGAGGUAUUCCAGCUGUUGGAUCAUCUUCGUGGCCUCCUCUGGACCCAUUCUAACAGUUCCAUACCACAUGCCAUGCUUCAGGAAAGAAACACUUAUUAAGCGUAAAGCAGAUAAGGUCCUGUGUUAAACAGAAAGCUCCGGUACAGCUGAGGUAAUUUAAAACCACAAUGUGGAGCCAAGGACUGACUAGUGGCUGUCUCUCAUUCUGCUGUGGAAAUCCCACUUCCUUCUCCACAGAGAUACCUCCACAAACAGGCUCUCCAGGCAGGGAGAAAAUUGAUGGAUUUUACUGCUUUACUUGGAUCUCAGUAACCACUCUUCCCAGUAGGAGCGUGCUGGCAAUACCAGUCUUGCUUCAAAGCCAGGGGUACUCGACAUGCAAUAAAGUUCCGCUGCUAAUAUUCCAAGAGGAUGGAGCAAACAGUGUCUGGAAUGGCAGCCAGCAGUCCUGCUUGCACUCAAUACUCUGCCACAGUUGGGCUGGGGUUCCUGUAAGAUACUUGGAGCUGUUCUGCAGACAACUGAGUAUCAAACUCCACACAUCUUCCACCCGCACAGAAGCACAUCUGUGAAAAAAAUGAAAAUUUCAGUUUGAGUAACAAGGAAAAUUUAAGAAAGAAAGAAGCAAAUAGAAUUUAGCCUCAUUUUCCUUAGGGCAAUCCAUUGUGGCAGUGCUAUCAAGAACAGUCUUCGAUUAUUUUUUCAUUCUUAGAGCGAAUUUGUGUACUUGAGGAUACUGAAUUAGAGCUGAAGGUUCAUCUUGCUUUUGGCUCAUACACAGAUCAGUUUUGUCACUUGAAUCAGCUACGCUGGGUAUGUGAUAGUGCACAGAUUUUCUGAAGUUACAUACUCAUGAAUAAACACCUUUAAGUGCGGAAAUGCACGUCAGUCCAGCACUUUCUGUAGUACUGUUUAAAGACCCUUUACACUGCAAAACCAAAUUGUUCUGACUUAUUUGUUCAUUAGCUCUGCAAGAAUUCCCUCUUUACCUUGUCCUGGUUUUGACUGGGAUAGUUAAUUUUCUUCCUUGUAGCUGGUGUAGUGUGGUGCUUUGGAUCUGGGAUGACCAUAAUGUGGAUAAUGCACUGAUGUUAUUAGUUGUUGCUAAGCAGUGCUUGUACCAAGUCAAGGACCUUUCAGCU